CCAGCUGCUGGACAUGUAACUACGUGGUUUAGUGUUUACCUGCUGGGUUUCCGUUUCCUCUUGGUCUGGUUUGUGCCAUUGUGUAAGAGAAGCACAUACUUGCUUUUGGAUUUUCAGGGGCUUACACCUGACAAUUUUCCUGGAGUCUCAGAGGAGACUAUAGACUUUUAAAUAUUCUGGGAUAAUAGAGACUACAAGAAGAUUUCAUACUGGAUUGAAUACACUUUGCAUUGUAAGAAGCCAUAAGCUUAUGGGGCAGAGAGAGGAAGUUGUGAACUGUCCUCCAUACCUGGAUGGAGUCCUAACUGACUCACAGGAAGAAUACUUAGCUCAGCUUUCCUCAGCGUUAACCUCUACAGUCACCAUGGGCUUAAAAACCGACAAGAACCCUACAAAGCAAAACUGAGACUUGGCAACAUCCAGAACAGUUUCUUGGCCUCCUCGGGAGGAACUGUUACACCUUCACAGCCAUCUCAGAAGCCAGCACCCAUGUACUGUAAGUUAUCCAGGCCUGGGAAAUGGGGCAAACUGUCUUAGCAGAUGUGUUCUCACAGCACAUUUCCAUGUGGAACAGAAACGUGUGAACGGGUGUUGGAUGUGGACACAUGUGAGCCCAUUUCUAUCUUUAUUACCUUUGUCUAGUCUUUACUCAGCUUUUGGACAUCACUUCUCUGUUUUAUUGACAGUGAUUUUAUAGACUAUUUUAAAUGAGAGAGAGAAAGAAUAUAUAGAAACACUGUGGUAAAAGAAACUCUCUUGAAAGUUUCUGACAUUACUAUGGAGUAAUGACUAUACUGUAGAGGCACGGGGCUUCCAGGCUACAUGAAAAUACCUUUUUUCCCUUGUGUAUACUGUGAGCCACAAGUUGGGCCCAUGUGAGUAUUCAGAGAUUUAUAAUUAAUUUCCAGUUUCUCUAGGUUUCCAUUGGGUUCUACUUCCCUAUGUUGACAGCCUAGCUCCCCAGAGGUCUCUGAUUCAAAAUUCAGCAGUGGUUCAGCAAUACCCCUAAGUCUCCAUGUUUGUGUGCAUGGCACAUUGCACAGUGCCUUUUAAAUGCAGCUUGCAGCCAUAAGUCAACUCAGUCUUUUUUGAGGUUCCUUUAACUUUGGACUUUAUAUUUGGGCUUCAAAGUGUUCCACGGUCAAGAAUCCAUUGUGCUCACAAUUGUCUUUUGAAGUAAGUAAAGCAGUCUCCUUUAAACACUAGAGAAGGAUGGGCAGAAGUUCUUGGGCAUGGCCAGGGUCACAUAGCAAGUCUAGGAUGGAGAAAGGGUUGGGAUUUAUUCUAUUUUUUUUUUUUUUUUCUGAGACAGGGUUUCUCUGUGUAGUCCUAGCUGUCCUGGAACUCACUCUGUAGACCAGGCUGGCCUCGAACUCAGAAAUCCGCCUGCCUCUGCCUCCCAAGUGCUGGGAUUAAAGGCGUGUGCUACAACACCUGGCAUAAUUUUUAUUUAUGGUGUGUGUGUGUGUGUGUGUGUGUGUGUGUGUGUGUGUGUGUGUGUGUAGGGGGUCAGAGGACUACUCUUGGGAGUCAGUUCUUUCCUUCCACUACAAGUAGGAUCCAUGAAUUGAGUUUACAUGGUCAGGUUUGCAUGGCAAGUGCUUUUACCUGCAGAGUCGUCUUGGUGGCCUGAGAUUCUUUUUGCUUAUUCUUUUAAGAUGGAGUUUCACUGUUGCCCAGGCUGGCUUUGAACCCUUAUAUAGCUGAGGCUGGCCUUAAAUUCCUGAUUUCUUGGCUAUAAACGCUGGGAUUAUAGAUGUGUGUCUCCAUGCCUAUAUACAUGUUGAGAUCUAUCAGCUAUCUCUUGGGGUCACACUAAAACAUUAUCUAAAAAAGAUGCCCUUUGUUUUUAGCCAAAAAUGAGUGAGAUGUGUGGUUGCUUUUCCUCACUUAUUUUGAGGAUCAGGUCACUUAUCAGGAAGAGCACUUCAGAAACUAUUAUUGGUUGAAUAAACUCAACGUGGUGAAAUGUUUCUUUCCUUUUUUUUUUCUUUUAAGUGUUUGAAAUCACAGAAUAAAAAAAAAAAAAAAGAGUUCGCAGCAGACAUUGUUUAUAAGCAUGAGAUGUAAAAGGAUUAUUAAUUAACAUUCUCCCCUGAAGAGAAGGGUGCAGCAAGGAGAGGAGAAAAAAAAAAUUGAGAGAUCAAAGAGAACAAAUCUUACUGUAGAAGUUAGUGUGUCUUCCAACACUACCUUAACUCUGCUACAGUUGGAGCCAGUACCUGUUGGCUUCUCUCUGCAGUACUUUUUGCUGUACAAGCCUUUGUGCCUAGCUCACAGGAUGUGCCUGAUGCUCUCCUAAGCUGUCCAACCACUCAGUCUACUCACUGCUCAUGCUGAUUCUGCCUCUGCUGCCUUUGAACUCCUGCUCCUUUGGGGGGGAGGGGGUGCGUUCUCUGAUGCAGAGCAAUAGGAAGAUUUCUAACAAACGUCCUCUAAACUCUUGUUCCCAGAUCUUUAAUAAAAUAAAUUCAUAAACCUCCCCAUUUUUAAACAGUGGGUAGACAGCAGUGAGGAAAUACACUCUUACAUAUUAAGAAGGCCCAGGGAAAAUUCAGCCAUGAAAUAAUUUUGAUGUCCUGAAUUAGCUUCUAUGAAAUCCAGAGAAUAUGCUAUUUCAGGAAUAUAGAGUGCCACCAAUUUUGCAUUCAUUUGGAGUCUUUCAUUUUUAGCUUCUUGAACAACAGAGAUAUUUGUUUAAAUGCAGAGCAAGUUUCAUCCAUGCACAAGCCUCAGUCAGCCACCAAUGUUCUCUGAAGCUUCAUUUAUUUAUUUAGAACAUUUUUGAAACUUGUCUCACUAGACAGCUCAAGGCUGGCUGGAACCUGCUAUGGCUAACCUUGAACUCAUUUCCCUCAUGUUUCAGUCUCUCAAAUGCUAGGAUUACAGGCAUGCACCAGUGUGUCUUAUUCCUUUGGUACAGUGUCUUGGGUUUUUUUUUUUUUUUUUUUUUUGGUUUAUAUAUUGUUAUUGCUUACAGGGCUUUCCGUUAGUCUGUGCUUGGUGGAUGAUACACUGGAUAUAAGAUGCUGAGAUGGUAGUGGAGAAGAACAGAAUUGGAUCAGGCAAGUCUGGUACACCAUGAGUAUUGAAGCAGUGUCAUGGAAAACUGUCAAGGGAAGAGCUGGAACAGAGAAUUGCUUUCUUUUUCUUCAAAUGAGCAAUUAUUUCCCAUUCAUAACAGAGCACUCAUGUCUGUCAUACACAGAUGUGAUUAGCUUGGUUAAGGGCGGCGUCAUUCCAAGAAGAGGUUAAAACUUUAGGACUCAUUUAGCAAUUAAUGUAGUUACUACUGUACCCACCUUUGUGUGUCCUGUUUGCCAGCCAUCCUGUAAUUGCUUAGGAGAAGCUGUGUCAGUGGACCUCCUGUGUGUCUUAAUUGAUGACAUUCAGCACCCUAGCCUUGCUAAUAUGUGAGAGAUGGACUGGCCCUCAGUCUUUGUCUUUUGUGGCAGAAAUAAGGGAAGGAAAGAGUGAGGAGAAGGACAGGGUGAGAACACUUUAACACUGGGGCUGUCCUUGAUGGUUUUUCUUGCUAAUCAUUUUGGGGAAGAGAAGUACAGAAGGCAUGCAUUUCUAUCUGACAGUAUUUGUCAGGUGCAAAAGUAAUGCCUGUAAAAUAAGUUGUUUUUAAAUUGGAAACAAUUUCAAGCCAUCAUGGUAAACAUUUGCUUUUUCAAUUUGAAAUUAUGGAGAAGAAUGCACUAUGGUCAGGUAUCUCGAUGAAAUAAGAUGACCUUUGGUCUCAAAUGUGCUCUCAUAAGUAAAUGCUACAAUUGUUUUCACAGUUUGUUCUGUUACAUACCUUUCCAUUUAAUCUGCUUUAUGAAAAAAUGAGCAAGGCUUGACAAUCCAGGGUAUUCAUGGGACUGUUUGAGGUCUGCUUGCAAUUAAAAAGAGUCUCAGGAUUCCCUUUUAUUCUGUUUCCUUGAUUCAAGGGUGGGGGGGGGGGCACUUGCCUCCCCUUGCAUCCUUUUGGAGCCCGUUAUAAACUUGUGCAAAGAGCAGCUUGGGAUAAGGUUUUCCGUUAUUCAAGAAAUUGAGAUCCUCCAAUAAGUUAAGCAUUUGGAGAACCUUGAAAGUGUCUGGUAAAAUCCCAACUAAGUAGAAAUACGCAGGUUAUUAAGACAGACCAUGAGAAAAAUAGCAUCAUACUAUUUUAACCUCACUGUCCUUCAAAGAGGAGAAAGAAUCAUCACAUUUAAUUCCUCAAAAUGUUGGAGCCUACAAAAUUUUUAAAAAGAGUUUUUUAAGUAUAAGAGGCCCGACAUAUUACAAUUAUAAAUGGCAACCAUUCAAGAGAGAACUUUUGUGUAAUUAAAAAAAUAAAGUGAUUAAAUUCUUUUUGGGUGCUCCAAUAGGAAGAAUUGCUCCCAUUUACUUACACAAAGCCUAUUAUUGUUACAUAAAAUCAAGAAAAAUUUUUGGAGCAAAUUUCCCAAGAUUCCUGAUUACCCUAAGAUGUGUUAUUCACUAGACAAUCAUGUUCUCUAGAAGAGAAGCCAUAACUGAUGAUCAGGUUGAUGGUGACUUCGGAUUCUAAUGUGUCUGUCACAGGUCUCUGUAUCAUGAUAGAGUUCCUGUGAUAAAGUUGGUUUAAAAUAUGGCAGUGUCUCCCACAUGAUUCCAGAGUAACAGCAGCUGCAAGUUGGCUUUAUUGUACUGUGCCAUCCAGAGGAUGCUAUCUGUGAGGAUUUUAUCACAGCAGUGUAAAAACUUGAAAUUUAAAGCAAAAUAAGAAAAGCACACUAACUUAUGCAUUCACUAGAAAGUAUCCAUAUUUUUGUUAUAAAUAUAAAAGAAACAGAGCAAAGAAGACAUUCCCUCUGGCUCUAAUCCCCCAUGGAGGCACAGACACAUACAAUCCAAUAUGUUGUAGUUAAAACAGAGGCAAAAUCCUAUAGCAGUUGGUCACCACAAUAUUAUAGCUGAUAGUUACAGAUAUUAAACAGGUCUAAGACUACAUACAUGGGACAUCAGCAUGUAGAAGUCAAUAAAAAACAAAAGCAAUAAGCCCAAUAUGCAUUUAUUAGCUGGAUUCUUGGGUGCUUGUAUCCACGUGUGCUGGUUCCAUUGCUGCAGGACAGGCCACUCACUCUCCCUUCCCUGGCUAAGCCAGACAGGAACCUUCAGAAAACUGGCCUAGACUGAGGUGUCAUUGAAGAAGACUGGGCAAAUAGGCUCUUUGCCCCUUUUCUCAUUUCCAUUUUAUGGGACACCAAAAGAAAUAUUAUUUGGACACAAACUAGUUGCUACAA